UUUUUUUUUUUUUUUUUUUUUUAAUUCCCUUAUUAAUCAAAUGGUUUGCAGAAUCUUAUACAGUUUGGAUUUUAUGAUAAGAUAUCAUUGACAGCAUCGGGGUUUAGAAAAUAAAAAUAAUUCUUAGAAAUCAACAAUCGCCGCCGAUGAAUUGCGUGGGUAGAUGUCACACUCUUACGCUAGACUUUCUCAAUAAAAGCAAAGGAAACAGUAUCUGUGGUGGAGGAAGUCAGGUCGGCCCCCAGGCAGAGAGACACAGACUACGGUAAAAAAGCGCCCAAUUUCAU
rnacentral:misc_RNA from 1 species